AAGAAAAUUGAUCUCCGAGCCCGGUUACCUAAAGCAGUCGCCAUGGUGCCAGGGCCGAUAGGGUGUGCGGGGAAACCGACACACCUCCCGUGCGGAAAGGAGAUGGCUUACAAUGAC
rnacentral:ncRNA from 2 species